UGGGGAAUAUUGGACAAUGGGCGAAAGCCUGAUCCAGCAAUGCCGCGUGAGUGAUGAAGGCCUUAGGGUUGUAAAGCUCUUUUACCCGGGAUGAUAAUGACAGUACCGGGAGAAUAAGCCCCGGCUAACUCCGUGCCAGCAGCCGCGGUAAUACGGAGGGGGCUAGCGUUGUUCGGAAUUACUGGGCGUAAAGCGCGCGUAGGCGGCUUUGUAAGUUAGAGGUGAAAGCCCGGAGCUCAACUCCGGAACUGCCUUUAAGACUGCAUCGCUAGAAUCGUGGAGAGGUGAGUGGAAUUCCGAGUGUAGAGGUGAAAUUCGUAGAUAUUCGGAAGAACACCAGUGGCGAAGGCGACUCACUGGACACGUAUUGACGCUGAGGUGCGAAAGCGUGGGGAGCAAACAG
rnacentral:rRNA from 1 species